AUUUACAUAAGCUGCAGAUUCAUUGUUACCAACAGUAACAGUGAGUAGCAGAAGGAAACAAGAGGCGCAACAAGAAAUAACUGAACAUGUCAAGGAUCAACGAGAAAGAACACAAAACAUAGGGGAGCAAGAGACACAACAAGAAAGAACUGAACGUUGACGAUCAACGACAAAGAAAGCAGAACAUCAACUGGCAGAGGAGGGAGCAAACGAGUUGCAGCAUGGUCAAGGAAAGAUGCAAAGAGACAUCAAGAAGAAAUGAAGAGCAGAAGGGAACAAGAGACGCAACAAGAAUUAACAGAACAUGUCGAGGAACAACGAGAAAGAACACAAAACAGAGGGGAGCAAGAGACGCAACAAGAAAGAACUGAACUGAAUAAAUCUCAUUGUUAACGUUUAAA